CUUUCCUUCUUUGCCUAUUUGACACCUAAUCCUCCACACUGAUACCAUCUCCUUCUUCACGUUUGAAGAUCCCUCUUCGUUUUCAGGACCAUCUCUAUUUAAUACUUCUACUUUAGAAGGAAACAAAGAAGAAAAGCCAUGACUACCUUGCUGAUUCACUUGGUUCUGCUAAGCUUUACCUUGUUCCUGCUCCUACAAUUUUCCCAGCCUGUAGAUGUUAAGUCUCUGGAGAUCGAGUAUUUUGGUCAUUUUAUAUUAAAAUUAGGAGUCAGGCCUGCAUAAUUUAGUUUUUGGGUCUAGGCUCAUGUCCUUAUUUAUAUAAAUCUCUUUGAAAGUGAGUUUUCUGUAUUUAUAUCUUUGGUCAUGUGUUACUAUGUAAUUUUCUAUUUUAUAAGUGAUUUCCGUCGUGCUCUGCUUCUUUCGAUAUAUAUGAGAUUUAUUGCCGACACUGUGGUAGUUUGAAUUUGCUCCCAGCUUUUUCUUUCUUUAUUUGAUUUUAGUUUAUGCUAUUCUUCGUUUUGAUUGUCUUCUCUAAAUUUAUAUUCUGUUUCAAUUUUUAGUUUACAUUGUCUUUGAAUUUUAAAUCUUUGAUCGCUGUGGAUUACAAUUGAACAGACUUUCUUGGUGGGUUGUUUAUAUCUCUCUGUUUGAUUAUCCAAAAACAAAACAAAGAGUCUGUUCUUGGUGUGUUCUUUUUUUGAAGUUAGAUUUGAUUGGUGAAAAAAUUGCGUAGAAUAUAGAACUUUAUGGUUUUUCAAUGUUUUGGGUCAAGUGACGACCUACAUUGAGCUGAUUGCAUUAAGUUUUAAUUGUUUUUUGCUAUCUAAUUGCAUUUGUUAGUGAACGAGUUCUGGGAAUACUGGAACACAAUCUUGGCAAGUGCCAUUCUUUUUGUUUUUUUAGGAGAUGUUUUCUGAAGUUCCAAUUCCGAGUCGAUGAGAUUGAGUUGUUUAAAUCAUUGGUUCUGUUUUGUGAAGUCUUUACAGUCAUUUUGAGAACUUUGAUUUUGAAUUCUAACAAGUCUCUUUGACUGUUUUAUUGUCAGAUAUCAGAAGAGAAAAUGAGUAUGAGGAAGGUUACAGACACAAUGAUGAAUCACAGGUCGUCAAAUAUUCAAAGGAGGCAUUAACUCUUAAAUCUGGUGGACUCAAAACUGUGUCGCAUUGUUCUUUUACAUGGGCCUCCAGGGACUGGGAAAACCUCUUUAUGUAAAGCAUUGGCUCAGAAGCUAUCCAUCUGAUUUAACUCCAGGUUCGUGACUGGUCUAAAGGCACCAUUUAGGGAUGGAUUUCUCAAGCAUGUUGCUCAAGAUUUGUAAAUUUGGCAAAGGAUGUACUUGAAAGAAGGCUUUAAGGAAUCCAGCUUCUUGAAUGAGGUGGCAGAGGUGGUUAGAACAGUUAAGUAAUUAGGAGUUGGUCUUUUCAUUUGCACAUCUUCCAUCUCUUUCAACGAUGAUACCCCCAAUACUAAGGUAAACUAAUAGCAGUUUGGUUGGUUUUUAAGUUAUUUCAAAUGUUUUGCAGAUUGCAAACCGUCUUAAUACUGUUGUUUCUAGCAUUAGGAGAAAGACUUUGACGAUCUUGCUCCUAGCGAAAACUAGUGGAGAAGAAUGUGAACACUGAUUGCUGCAGCCAAAUCAAGAAGCUUCUGGUGCUGCUUCUAUGGCUCGGACGACGGCCUACUCGCUUGAGGAGUUCUUUCAAGCAGAUAGGAAGCCUGAUGAAGAAAUGCCAGUUAUAUACUUAUAUAUGGUACAUGCUUUUUAUUUCCAUUGUUUUAUGUUGUUCAGUGCAUUUGUAAAUUGGGGGUAUUGGAUUGCAUACUUUGCGAGGAUCAAUUGAAGAAACUUGGUGCACGGCAGAGGUUAAUUAGUUUUACUUUU